AAUUACAAUUUUCAAAUUUGAAAAUUCAAACCUGAGAUUAGAAAUUUAUUUUUUCCGACAAUAAAGUGAAACUGAAGCGGAACAUAUUUGAUGAAAAUGAAAUAUUAUCUAAUCAAGAACAUUCAUCGUACCCGUAUAGAAAAAUGAUCAGUACCUUUUCUAAAUAAUAAACCUGAAAAUGGAUUCAUCAGUUGUAGCUUGUCGAGAAAUAUUUGAUGAAAACAGCCAACCUUCUGCAGAGGAGAUAUCAGAAUAUGCCUGUCAACUGGGAAUAGAUCCUGAAAGUGAGAGCCAUCUCCUACCUCUGGCCCGAGAUGGACUUAUGCAAGCACUUCCAGCACCAUGGAAAGCAUUCUAUGAUGAAAAACUUCAAACCCACUAUUAUUACAAUGAAGAAACAAAGAAUACACAGUGGGAGCAUCCAUUGGAUCAUGUGUAUAAGGAAUUGGUUAAGAAAGCAAGAGAUACAUCAAUGCUUGAUGAUACUUGUGCAUCUGUGCAGGACUUACUAACAUCAGAGGAAAAUACAAAACUGCUUGAACGAGUUGAAACUAAGGUUGAGAGUGAUGAUGAUGACCUUACAACAGAUAGUGAGCAACCCCCAUCAGAUGUUAAAGAUGUAUCUGGACAAAAACGCUCAAUAGGGAAACCACCACUGGCACCCUUAUCAAGAUUUGAAAAGAAACUGAGUGAUAUUCGAAUAUCACCUUUAAGGCGCAGCAUUGAUAGCACAUUAUCCAUCAAACCUAACCUUAAUAGAAGCAGCUCGGAUCAAAAUAGACCACAAUUUGAAAGACCUAAAACAUUAUUCAAACAACAGUCAGAGAUAAUUGAUUUAAAAAUGCAUGUUUUAACUAGCCCAGAAGAAGAAAAUUUCAGUCCAUUGCUGUCAUCUACCAAAGUAGAUAAAGGGAUACCGUUUAGUGGAAAAGGGAACAUGUUCCUCCGAAUAUCAAGAUCAAAUCUUCCGAGUCCAGAUACAGAGAAGUCAUCAAAUUUGGACUCUGUUACUAAGAGUGAUCCUCCGAAAGGUAUCCUGCGCGAAAAAUCCUCAGAUUACAUUCAACGGAAGAUUGAAAAUGUCAUAUCUGGGAAAGGAAAGCAGACUGGAAGUUUUGAUGAUGACAAGAAAAGUGUUCGGUUUCAAAUAGAGAAUCAUCCGGAGCCUACAGUUAGUCCUGGUUCCAACAGCUCCUCUGAACAGAAUGAAGGCCAGAGUUCUAUUAUUAGUGCUGCCACACAUAAACCAAAUUCAAUUCAUAUUGAAACAAUGUCACAUACAUUCAAGAUGAACCCACUAUCACCAAUCCCAAGUGCAUUGUCAAUAUCUAACAAAGUAUCACUGAGUUCAGUUGUGCUUUCUCCACUGGCUACCAGACCUCCAAUACCCCCCCGAAUUGACAGCCCGAGGGAUAAGAACACUUCAUUAUCUGAGAGGGAUUCAAUUGAUAGUGAGAGUCGAGAGAGUCGUGGUGCAUCACCUCGCCGACGUUUAGUGAAGCCGCCACCGUCUGAGUACAUCAAGCCUGGAUUAUUCCAGAAGAACUUUCAGAAAAUAUCUGAUUUGGUUCGCAGAGCUGACAUUGAACCAACACCAAUUACUUUAGAGGAUCCUACUUCAGAUAAAGAAGUUCGUCCAAGGUCACCACUCAUUCCACUUAAAAACAAAAUCUCAAUAAAUCUGAUGGAGAGUAUUGAAUCCGAAACAUCAAUUGAUUCUCCGGAUAGGGAGUUUGCCAAUCUAGACUUAAAUGAUUUAGAUGAUAACAAUUUGGAUCAAAAAGAAGAAAUAGAUAACAAAACAGAUAUAGAAAAAUCUGCUAAAGCUGAUGAAGAAUCUGAAAAAACACAUUCCAAAGACAAUAAAAACCAAAACAUUCCAAUACCUCAAUUAAAUAUACCUGGAUUAGAUUUAGUUAAACAAAAUAAGUUUACACAUUCCGACUCUGAAGAUUCGAAAAGGUCAAACAAAGAUGAACCAAAGAAUAGUGUUCGAUCUAACAGUAUAGAUAUACCUAAAGACUUUAGGCCUCAAUUAAAAUUGUCUCCAACACCUAGUUUGGGUACGGACCGAUCUCCAAGAUUAGAUCUCAACAAGCCAUUUUCAAGUCCUUUAUCAACAUUUAAACCUUUUAACAAACCUGUAACCCCGCUGAAAUCAGACUCGGCGUGUAGUUUGAGCAAAAGCUUAAGUCCUAGGUUAGACGGAGUUAUGUUAUCACAAGGGAAAUCGAGUUCGGAUAAUGUCGUUGUGGUUUAUCAGUUUGAAACUCAAGACCAGAGUCCAAGGAUAAAGUCACCAAUACCAGACAUGGGGGUGCGAGACAUGAUGGAAAGAAAUAAGGCAGAUGAGAGAAGACGGUUAGAGUUUAAUCUACAAAAAGAUUUGGAAAUGAUAAGGAUGGAGUUUGGAGCUAAGGAGAGGAGAAUGAGAGCUGAACUACAAACAGAGCUGAAGGAAUCCGAAGAAAAGUUUUUAAUUGAUAAGAAGACAAGAUUGACAGAACAAGCUGAAAGACAUAAACAGGAAUUGGAAGAAGCCUUAGCUACUAGUGAGCGAAGUCAUCAAGAAUUUUUACAGAAUUCUCUUAAAGAAUUGGAGGUGAAGUACAUAAAUGAUGUAGAAUCAGUGCACAGACAACAUGAAAGUGAAAUAGCUAAACUUGGCGAGGAAUGCAAAAGAAAAUUGUUGGAACAAAAGGAACAAUUGGAAAUCGAGAAUGAACGGGCGAUAUCGGAGUUAAGGGAACAGCUCCAGAUGAGUCUGUUUAAGGAGAAAUCUAGAAUAAUGGAGGAGAAUCGAGCGGCGAUAGACAAACUCAGAGAAGAGCAUUCGGCGAAAAUUAGCGACCUAUCUCACGAUUAUAGAGCCGAGAUCGAUCGACUUCGUUGUCAACACGCUUGUCAUCUUGAAGAAGUUCGUGUUCGAUUGGCCGGGGAACGAGCUGCCGCUGCGAAACAAGACGAACGCGCACUCAGCGAGAAGUACAAGUGUCUGAAGGAGAAGUACGCACGGCUCAAGCAAGAUGUUAAGAUGUCCAUAGAGAGGCGAAACAAGAGACGCGAGAUGAGUAUGACGACUGGCUCAGAGACGGAGAAAUCUAACUCCCAUAAAGCUACGCAAUCAUUAGAAAGGUGUAAGGAAGUGAACGAAACAUCGAUAAGUGCUGCGGUAGAGCCGCAGUCUAAAGCUAGAACAAUAGAACAAACAAGGGAGACAGAGCGCACGAUAACUAGCAACCACAAUCAUACCAGCAAAUGCAACGACAAUGAGACCACGUACUCGGAGAGUGGGCACAAGACUGUAGACAACAAUAACGACGACUCGAAACAUGAUCGCGAUUCUGCAUCCACAUCGUUAACGUCAGCUCUGAAACAGUCGCGCAAUAGAAAAGCUUGUGUUGCGUUUCGAGAACCUCCACGUCGUGGGGGGGAAAGGGAUACAGAUAUUGGCCCUAAGUGUUGACAUCUUAUCAGGUGCCACCACAGACUAUCAAGACUCAUCGGACGCGACCACGGCUGAUGAAAGAUCCAAGGAGGCCAAUGGGCACUUCCAGCGUCGCCGGUUUACAAGAUUGAAAUCGGCGUCGACCUCUCGAC